ACAGCAUGUUGCCAUCAAAAGGACUUGAAUCCCAAAUGUGCUUUACAGAAAGAGAAGAAACUAUGGAAGAUAAUUUAAGAAGAGCUCUAGUAUGUAUGCUCAUUAUCUCCAUUUUCGGCUGUAGCUGCUGUUUUGAUCAGUAAAGAAAGAGCCAUUUCUGUAAGUGCGUGCCUGCAGAAGAGCCAGCUGCUCUGACGGCUGCAGUGAUCAGUGCCAAAACUUCUUAAAGCAAGCAGGAAAGAGUUAAACAUAUUCCCAGGCUGUGAGUGUUUAGAGCCAGACCAGACUGUUCAUUCCCAAGCUGCUGAGAUCAUGGGCUCCUAAUUAUUAUCGCUUGCAAACUUUGGGGCUAUCCUAUAUUCUGCAUAAUUAACACUGGACAGCUGAUCGAUAAUCCACAGUCCUCCUCUCUCAUCCAGAUCUACAGUAACCCCGUGUUUUGGGAGCUCAUGUCUGGGAGUGGCACGGAGUAGUGCCUGGGGUGCAGCCAGGCCACCUGGGUUUUGUCGCUUUGUCCUUCAUGGUGUG